CAUGAACUAUAACAUAAAGCUUUUUAUAUCGUAAAACGUGUGCAAUAAUCUAGAUUCUAGAACAAUAUCAAAAUAGUGUUCUUGUUAACAUAAAAUAUAUUGCACACUUUUUUAGUUUAUAUUCAUGCAGGGCUCUAUGCCAAACAUACACAUUGGGGUUCUAGAAUCACCCCAAAUAGAGGAAGAGAGCUAAGAAAAGCUAUUAUAGAACUAGGUUGUUGCUAUCACUCCACUGACACUCCUACUUAUUAACCUACUAACACUAACAAAAUUCCUGAUGUUACUGACUUUUUUAUAACCAAAAAAAUAUCAGAAAACUUUCUAAACCUUGAAGAUAAUUAUGAUUUUAAUUCAGAUCACUCUGCUGUCAUAUUAAAACUAAAUAAAUAACUAGAACAUUAUUUAAACCACACUUAAUAAACAAUAUUGAUGUAAAUAUUAAUACACAAUCAAGAGAAUAAUUAGAUCUUGAGUUGGAAGGAUUUAUUAAAAUGAUACAAAAAGCUGCAUGGAACAGUGAUAUCUAAGUCUUUUGAAAGCUGCUAUUAAGGAGAUUGAAGCCAAUAAUAGAAAAUAGAGGCCCCAUACCAAACCAUAAAUUUGGUUUUAGAAGAAACCAAUCUACAAUAGACCAGAAUACAAAUAAUGGCACAAAGGUCUCAUAUUUAAGUUAGGAAAAAAUUAUACCAUCGCCACUUGUGGCAAUUUUGGAAUCUUACUUAGCUGAUAGAUUAUUUAGAAUUAAACAAGACGCUGAAUACUCCACGCUAAGAGAAAUAAGAGCAGGUGUGCCACAAGGCAGUAUAUUAUGUCCAACGUUGUACUUGCUUUACACGAGUGAUCUACCACAAAUAAACUUCACCAAUCGGAAAAUAGUGAAUCCACCACAAAUUAACUUAAAUGGAACGAACGUAGCCAACCAUAACUCAACAAAAUACCUAGGAAUGACUUUAGAUGUCAAGUUAAGGUGGAAAGCGCAUAAUUAUAAAAAAGAAACACAUAGAAUUAGAAAAUAAAUGUAGAGAAAAUUAUUGGCUCCUAGGUCGUAAGUCCAAUUUGGCAAUUGAUAAUAAAAUAUUGAUUUAUAACCUAAUCAUUAAAUCAAUAUGGCUUUAUGGCAUUAAACUGUGGGGUUGUGCCAAGAAGACUCACAUUCACAGAAUUCCAACCUUCCAGAAUAAAGUUGUACGGGGCGUGAUAAAUGCGCCAUGGUAUGUACGUAAUAGUGAUAUCCACAAGAACUUAGGAAUUCCUUUGGUUGCGGAUGAAAUUAGGAGCUGUGGUACAAAGCAUAGGACUCGUCUAGAACAGCAUGUAAAUAUGGAAGCAACUCGGCUGCUAGACAAUGGCGUUAUGACAGAAAAACUUAAACGAACAGGACCUUUUGAUUUAACACAAAAUACCAAUUUCCUUAUGGAAAUUAUUUAAUUCCUAUGUGGAAAAACCAAGUUAGCGCAGAGGUAAUAGUGGGUCUGUAGGACCAGUUUUAUCCGUUCGGAGUUUAGGUGAUUUUUAUACAUAUACAUAUACAAUGUUUAUACAUAAAAAGAAUACAUAUACAAUUUUUAAAAAUUGUAUAUGUAUUCUUUUUAUAUUAAAAGUCCAUUUAAUUCUCUUUAGGUAUGUAAUUUUACUCAUAUAAAGAAAUGUUUUAACAUUGUUAGUAAAUCUAAUUUCCUGACUAAAGCUACCACAUCAGGAACUUUAAAACUUCUAUAAGUAAAUAAAUGAGUUAGACUUAUUAACAAUGUGAAAAUAUUUCCUAGUAUAACUAAAAUUACAUAAAAACCUAAAAAGAAUUGUAUGGACAUAUUGCUAAUUAACUGAUACAACGUGUAGUUUUAUAAAAAUACAUUUUUUACCUUUUGUACGCCUUUGAAAUGCUUAAUAUUUUUCCCUAUACUUCAUAUACGAACCAAGAAACCAACUAAAAUUGUUUUUCUAAACUUUUGAUUUGAAACUUGGGUCUUGCUUUUUAUUUGUAUUCGAUUGUAAAUUUUAAAGAAUGGUUAAAAUUUACUAUCGUUGAACUGCAGCCAACAGCAGAAAGUGUUUGAACUUCUAGGUAUUAUAAGAAUCGUUUAUUAUAUUUCACUCUAAAUAUAAUUUUAAUUUAAUAUUUAUUAAUAAUUCGUUAAUUAUUUUCUUGGAUAAAAAAAAUAAUAAAAUGAAUUAUUUUUGUUACGCUAA